rnacentral:rRNA from 1 species
AUGCUGGAGGUAUCAGAAGUGCGAAUGCUGACAUAAGUAACGAUAAAGCGGGUGAAAAGCCCGCUCGCCGGAAGACCAAGGGUUCCUGUCCAACGUUAAUCGGGGCAGGGUGAGUCGACCCCUAAGGCGAGGCCGAAAGGCGUAGUCGAUGGGAAACAGGUUAAUAUUCCUGUACUUGGUGUUACUGCGAAGGGGGGACGGAGAAGGCUAUGUUGGCCGGGCGACGGUUGUCCCGGUUUAAGCGUGUAGGCUGGUUUUCCAGGCAAAUCCGGAAAAUCAAGGCUGAGGCGUGAUGACGAGGCACUACGGUGCUGAAGCAACAAAUGCCCUGCUUCCAGGAAAAGCCUCUAAGCAUCAGGUAACAUCAAAUCGUACCCCAAACCGACACAGGUGGUCAGGUAGAGAAUACCAAGGCGCUUGAGAGAACUCGGGUGAAGGAACUAGGCAAAAUGGUGCCGUAACUUCGGGAGAAGGCACGCUGAUAUGUAGGUGAAGUCCCUCGCGGAUGGAGCUGAAAUCAGUCGAAGAUACCAGCUGGCUGCAACUGUUUAUUAAAAACACAGCACUGUGCAAACACGAAAGUGGACGUAUACGGUGUGACGCCUGCCCGGUGCCGGAAGGUUAAUUGAUGGGGUUAGCGGUAACGCGAAGCUCUUGAUCGAAGCCCCGGUAAACGGCGGCCGUAACUAUAACGGUCCUAAGGUAGCGAAAUUCCUUGUCGGGUAAGUUCCGACCUGCACGAAUGGCGUAAUGAUGGCCAGGCUGUCUCCACCCGAGACUCAGUGAAAUUGAACUCGCUGUGAAGAUGCAGUGUACCCGCGGCAAGACGGAAAGACCCCGUGAACCUUUACUAUAGCUUGACACUGAACAUUGAGCCUUGAUGUGUAGGAUAGGUGGGAGGCUUUGAAGUGUGGACGCCAGUCUGCAUGGAGCCGACCUUGAAAUACCACCCUUUAAUGUUUGAUGUUCUAACGUUGGCCCCUAAUCGGGGUUGCGGACAGUGUCUGGUGGGUAGUUUGACUGGGGCGGUCUCCUCCUAAAGAGUAACGGAGGAGCACGAAGGUUGGCUAAUCCUGGUCGGACAUCAGGAGGUUAGUGCAAUGGCAUAAGCCAGCUUGACUGCGAGCGUGACGGCGCGAGCAGGUGCGAAAGCAGGUCAUAGUGAUCCGGUGGUUCUGAAUGGAAGGGCCAUCGCUCAACGGAUAAAAGGUACUCCGGGGAUAACAGGCUGAUACCGCCCAAGAGUUCAUAUCGACGGCGGUGUUUGGCACCUCGAUGUCGGCUCAUCACAUCCUGGGGCUGAAGUAGGUCCCAAGGGUAUGGCUGUUCGCCAUUUAAAGUGGUACGCGAGCUGGGUUUAGAACGUCGUGAGACAGUUCGGUCCCUAUCUGCCGUGGGCGCUGGAGAACUGAGGGGGGCUGCUCCUAGUACGAGAGGACCGGAGUGGACGCAUCACUGGUGUUCGGGUUGUCAUGCCAAUGGCACUGCCCGGUAGCUAAAUGCGGAAGAGAUAAGUGCUGAAAGCAUCUAAGCACGAAACUUGCCCCGAGAUGAGUUCUCCCUGACUCCCUGAGAGUCCUGAAGGAACGUUGAAGACGACGACGUUGAUAGGCCGGGUGUGUAAGCGCAGCGAUGCGUUGAGCUAACCGGUACUAAUGAACCGUGAGGCUUAACCUU